GACGAACGCCGGCGGCGUGCUUAACACAUGCAAGUCGAGCGGUAAGGCCCUUUCGGGGGUACACGAGCGGCGAACGGGUGAGUAACACGUGGGUGACCUGCCCUCAGCUCUGGGAUAAGCCGUGGGAAACCAGGUCUAAUACCGGAUAUGGACUCCAUGACGCAUGGUUGUGGGGUGGAAAGCCUUGUGCGGCUGAGGAUGGGGCCCGCGGCCUAUCAGCUUGUUGGUGGGGUGAUGGCCUACCAAGGCGACGACGGUAGCCGGCCUGAGAGGGCGACCGGCCACAC
rnacentral:rRNA from 1 species